rnacentral:rRNA from 1 species
GACGAACGCUGGCGGCGUGCCUAACACAUGCAAGUCGAGCGGGGUUGAGGCGAGAGGUAACUCGAACUUCUACCUAGCGGCGGACGGGUGAGUAACGCGUGGGCAACCUGCCUCAAGGUUUGGGAUAACAGCCCGAAAGGGCUGCUAAUACCGGAUAUGCCUAUGGCCUCGCAUGGGGCUAUGAGCAAAGGGGAAACCCGCCUUGAGAUGGGCCCGCGUCCCAUCAGCUAGUUGGUGAGGUAACAGCUCACCAAGGCGACGACGGGUAGCCGGCCUGAGAGGGUGACCGGCCACACUGGGACUGAGACACGGCCCAGACUCCUACGGGGGGCAGCAGUGGGGGAUCUUGCACAAUGGGCGAAAGCCUGAUGCAGCGACGCCGCGUGAGCGAAGAAGGCCUUCGGGUUGUAAAGCUCUGUCUGGAGGGACGGAACAAAAUAGACGGUACCGUCCGGAGGAAGGCCACGGCUAACUACGUG